UUGUUACUUUGCCCAAAUCGCUACUCUUUGAAAUAAAACCCUAAAUCCUACUGCCUCCUCUUCUCAUUUCCACCGAAAAAUUCACCAUUGUCACUCCUUCGUCUGAGAUAGGUGGUGAUUUUUAUAAUCCUUCUUUGCGUUCAUUCGAAUAACUGGAGAAAAAGUUCGAAGAGAACUGACAUCGUUUGUCGGAAUCCAAAUCUAUACGAGAGCAGAUAAAAGAUCUGGCAACAGAGAUAAAUUUAGUCACUUUUAUCAUACAGGUACCUCAUUUGAUGGAGCAGAGAACACCGCAGCUAUUGCAUCUGGGAUAAGCUUAAUCAAUGUUGCAGCUGGUUCAUCGAUUCUCCUUCGAGUAGGGAAAGACUCACCUCCUCCGAUACAAAUAGAGCAGUACUCAUGAUACAAAUGGUUCUUUGCACGGAUACUAUGUUAUUUAUGGCGCAAAGAGAGCAGCUGAAGCUAUAUGUCCUGCCGUAGUCUCUUGCGCUGAUAUUUUUGUGUUUGCUGCAAGAGAUGCAAUUUUAUUAUUAGGCGGACCUUACUGGAACGUGCCUAAAGGAAGAAAAGACGGAUGAAUAUCAAGAGCUAGUGAAACAACACUGCUUCCAAAGCCUACAUUCAACAUUUCUCAACUCCAACAAAGCUUCAAUCAAAGAGGUCUCUCACUAGACGACUUAGUGGCUCUCUUAGGUGCACACACUCUAGGAUUUACCUAUUUCUUAUCAUUUAUGAACUGUAUAUACAACUUCAACGCCACACAUGACAUCCAUCCUACACUACGCCCAUCAUUUGCAGCAAGCUUGAAGGGCAUAUGUCCACUCAAAAACAGGGCAAAAAACACAGGAAAAACAAUGAUCCUUCACCAACAACAUUUGAUAAUACUCAUUACAGGCUAAUUCACAAAAAGAAAAUGGAUCAUUCAUUGCUGACUACACAAAAAAUGAAAAGUCAGGCGGACCUUACUGGAACGUGCCUAAAGGAAGAAAAGACGGACGAACAUCAAGGGAUGAUUAGUGGUGUGUUUUAUUCAGACAUGUUAUUAUCAUAUUGCAGAGAGUGUGACUCCACUGUCUUGUUUCAGGAAAGUGUUGGCAAUCAAAUUUGAAUGAAGGUCGGAAAUCAAUUCAAUGAAUUGAGGCAGAUGAUGAAGAGUUUUUGAACUAUUG